rnacentral:rRNA from 1 species
UAGGGAAUCUUCCACAAUGGGCGCAAGCCUGAUGGAGCAACACCGCGUGAGUGAAGAAGGGUUUCGGCUCGUAAAGCUCUGUUGUUAGAGAAGAACGUGCGUGAGAGCAACUGUUCACGCAGUGACGGUAUCUAACCAGAAAGUCACGGCUAACUACGUGCCAC